AAAAGAAAUCCCAAACGGAGCUAUAUUGAAUUCUUCUUUGGUUCAUCACAUCACAUCUUCUCAUACAGCACUACCUACACCACCACUAGGAUCUAUAUCUUCAUCCACUGCUCCUUCUCGGGCAGCAACAACGGUUCAGUGAACCACAACAUAAUUUUCUCAUACUUGAGCAAGUGCUUGCAACAUCUUCAUCUGAUUUCAGUUGAACUUGAGGGAUUUUCUAGGAUCAUACUUGGACAAAAGAACAAUGCAAGCUCCGCAACCACCUGUAAUUGUUUCAGGCUGGGUUUGUUGUUUCAGAUCAAUUGAUUAUAUUGUUUAAUCAAUUUUUUAUUGCCUGUGUGUGUUGGGGUUCAAAGACUUUGUAGUUCUGGGCUAUUUGGAUUGGUGUAUUCAGUUAGGGAAUUUUUUUGAUGAUCCUGCUAUUGCUGCACAAACCAAGUACUACUCAAAGGGACACGCUUUAUUGGGUACUCUCUGUAAUGGAACAGAUAGUCGUCCGCUGUUUAUCAAUAACUGCAUAAAGAAUGCUUAUAUUAUUGUACUAGAUGAUAUAUGCGAUUUAAAGUCCAUCACCCGGAGUCCGUUUUCAUAUCUAAGUGGAACCAAGCUGAAAUGACGGAAACGCAAAAUAUAUUCAUCAGUUCAUAUGGACGGCGUAGAUUCUUCGUGUAUCCUUUUAGUAGUUCCAGAUGAUUGUUCUACCAAGUGUACAAAAUUCGUUUCAGGAGGGAUAUUAUGCAUGGCCGUCUCAGUCUAUUGCAUGUCUUACGUAUACGUAAAACCAGACCCAUGUUGAUGCAUGAAUAAAGAAGUCAAUGAACAAACUCUUUCUCCAUGAAAAAACAAGUUGCACGAGAAAAGCCAAACUUACCAUCGUAUCAGGCUGAACGUGAUGGAGCUUCAAAAUCAUGGAUGGAGGUUAUUUGACAACAAUCCUUUAAAAAAGUAGAAAGAGGACCAAGGUCUAGAAGAACUGGCCGUUGUCAAUUUAAUGUUUGGUUAGUGUUCUCUCCCACUCACUCCUUCGUUCAUCAUUUUGUUUGGUUCUUAAUUCAUUUUUUUUCCUGCUUACAUUUGAUGCAAGGAUUGUUGAAAUAAGUUUAUUUGUGUAAAAAAUCAAAGCCUUUUUAAGUUAAAAGCUAACUCAGUUUUGAAGGUUUUUUUUGUUUGAGUUCGAUCGAAAGGUCCAUUUUCGCUUGAUCAUAGGUGGAAACCGCACAUGCUGCAGCUCAGUGAGUUAUAUGUAUAACACAGCACGAUGGUGAGGACUGUAGACUGAUGUUUCAUUAGUUUCCAGUGUCAUCCCUGCGUUUAAAGAAGAGAUCAGCUGCUGCGGAGGACAACAAAACAGCUUUGCAUCCUGGAUAAAGGGUGCAGUUUGGAAGAAUUGCAUUCUGGAUUCAUGGGUACACUCUUGGUGUACAAGAGUGAUAAAGUUAAAAUGAAGAUCGUAGACAUCCUUUAUAUGUGCACUACUGUUUUCAACACUAUGUACACUGUAGACUUGGAUUAUACUGUUGGGGUAAUAUGUGUGCAUGAAGCAGAGGAUCAGGUAAACUCUCUUUUUGUUAUGCUUAUGAAUUUUUGGCGCUCAAGUAUCAUUAUAUAAAAUCCCAAUUACAUUAAGAAAUGGUACUUGCUGUCUUAGCUCAAGUGGAAGAGCACAUGGUUCUCCAUGUGGUUGUGGGUUCGACUCCGGCAGAUGGCAUUUUUAUUUAACUAGGCUAAAAAUUACAUGCUUCCAUUGGAAAUAUUAGCUAUGCGUGAUUUUAAAAGUGUCGUAUAUCAUCUUGGUCAUGAUUUGUGGAUCCAAUUAGAUAUAGAAAAAUGAACAUAUCUCUUAUCCAGAAUCUGAAUUCCAAGAAGUUGGAAAGAAGUUAACUGAAGGACUGUGGGAAGAAGUCUUAGAAGCUUCCAAAAAGUGGAGAAUUCCAUGGGUGUUGUCUUGGGUGACCCAUCUAGGACACUCCUCUUUUUUGGUUCUGGCACAUGAUAUGCGUAAAUACAAUAAAUUUUCUUUGUUAAGUAGUUAUGUUGGUUGAGUAGAUUUUCAUACAUAGGAUGAUGAACACCAAGGAUAGGGUCUUAACUAUGAAGUUGUUCAUGGUUAUGGUUGGCACGUUAACAAACAUUAGUAAAAAGGUUUUCGAGGUAGAGGCCUCCAAUGUUCAACGAAUAUUAUCUAAUUCUUUACUCCGGUUUUCGAGCUCAUGAACAGGGAAAUGUUUCUAUUUAAUUUUA